GACGAACGCUGGCGGCGUGCUUAACACAUGCAAGUCGAACGGAAAGGCCCUGCUUUUGUGGGGUGCUCGAGUGGCGAACGGGUGAGUAACACGUGAGUAACCUGCCCUUGACUUUGGGAUAACUUCAGGAAACUGGGGCUAAUACCGGAUAGGCGCUCCUGCUGCAUGGUGGGGGUUGGAAAGUUUCGGCGGUUGGGGAUGGACUCGCGGCUUAUCAGCUUGUUGGUGGGGUAGUGGCUUACCAAGGCUUUGACGGGUAGCCGGCCUGAGAGGGUGACCGGCCACAUUGGGAAUGAGAUACGGCCCAGACUCCGACGGGAGGCAGCAGUGGGGAAUAUUGCACAAUGGGCGGAAGCCUGAUGCAGCAACGCCGCGUGCGGGAUGACGGCCUUCGGGUUGUAAACCGCUUUCGCCUGUGACGAAGCGUGAGUGACGGUAAUGGGUAAAGAAGCACCGGCUAACUACGUG
rnacentral:rRNA from 1 species